rnacentral:lncRNA from 1 species
GGAACAGGUGGCAUGAGAUGGUAAGCCGGAAGGGCGUGGAGGGCGCCGGGGGAGCGGUGGCUCGGAAAAGAGAGAGGUGUCAGGUGGGGGCCAUCAUAAGAAACUACGGGGCCCACUUUCGCCGAGUCUCAAGGCUAAACCCAACUUUUCUUUUUUUCUUUUUCUUUUUCUCUUUGCUUCCCAAAAGAUGCUUUUUCUUCUUCUUUUUUCCCAUGUCAAUGAGAAAAUAUAUACUAGCACUUCUUUCUAUUUUUUCCUUUUCCCCUUUUCCAUUGUAGGGAAUUUCUUUCGCAAAUGGUUUUAGGCUUGCUUAAGA